rnacentral:rRNA from 1 species
CAGUAGCCACGGGAAUACGGAGGGGGCUAGCGUUGUUCGGAAUUACUGGGCGUAAAGCGCACGUAGGCGGCUUGGUAAGUUAGAGGUGAAAGCCUGGAGCUCAACUCCAGAAUUGCCUUUAAGACUGCCGAGCUAGCAGGUGAGAGAGGUAAGUGGAAUUCCGAGUGUAGAGGUGAAAUUCGUAGAUAUUCGGAAGAACACCAGUGGCGAAGGCGGCUUACUGGCUCAUACUGGACGCUGAGGUGCGAAAGCGUGGGGAGCAAACAGGAUUAGAUACCCCGGUAGUCCCUGUCUCUUAUAC